rnacentral:lncRNA from 1 species
CACAAGUCAACUUGGCAGUUAUGUAUUUCAAGCUUCGUUUGUAAAAGCACAAUCAAAGAUCACAGGGUUUCUUAAAGAUAAUACAUUAGUCUCACUUACAACAGCACUGAGUAAACCAAUGAAAAUCAAAGACAAACCAGUCAAGAACAUGUCAUGAAACAGAAUCUCAUCUGCAGUAACCUUCGGUGACUCAUGAAACGAUCCAUCAGGGAUCAUCUACCCUCUAAGAUGCAACCAUGUUCUCUUGGCUGGACAAAAGAGAAUGAAAGGAAUAACAAAAGCCAGAAUCUUGUGUAUCAUUCUGUUUUAUCAUAAGAGUGAGUUGUCUGAAACGCACUUGCAGACACAAAGAAAGGGUUCAAAGUAGAAACACAAGGUACGCUGAUAUAAUGGUCUAAAGAUAUAGUAACUAAGCUAGUUUGCAUAUAUCCUCAUACUCAAUAGACUUGAUGACUCUCCCUU